CCUACGGGAGGCAGCAGUGGGGAAUAUUGCACAAUGGGGGAACCCUGAUGCAGCGACGCCGCGUGAGUGAAGAAGUAUCUCGGGAUGUAAAGCUCUAUCAGCAGGGGAGAAAAUGACGGUACCUGACUACGGAACCCAGGCUAACUACAUGCCAGCAGCCGCGGUAAUAAGUAGGGGGCAAGCGUUAUCCGGAGUUAGUGGGUGUAAAGGGAGCGUAGACGGCGCUGCAAGUCCGGAGUGAAAGCCCAUGGCUUAACCAUGGUACUGCUGUGGAAACUGUGGAGCUUGAGUGCGAGAGGGGCAGGCGGAAUUCCUAGUGUAGCGGUGAAAUGCGUAGAUAUUAGGAGGAACACCGUCGGCGAAGGCGGCCUUCUGGACCGUAACUGACGUUGAGGCUCGAAAGCGUGGGGAGCAAACAGGAUUAGAUACCCGAGUAGUC
rnacentral:rRNA from 1 species